GUGCUCGCUUCGGCAGCACAUACACUAAAAUUGGAACGAUACAGAGAAGAUUAGCACGGCCCCUGUCACAAGGAUGACACCCAAAUUUGUGAAGCGUUCCAUAUUUAA
ensembl:snRNA U6 U6 spliceosomal RNA